rnacentral:rRNA from 1 species
GAUGAACGCUGGCGGCGUGCCUAAUACAUGCAAGUCGAGCGAACAGACGAUGAGCUUGCUCCUCUGACGUUAGCGGCGGACGGGUGAGUAACACGUGGAUAACCUACCUAUAAGACUUGGAUAACUUCGGGAGACCGGAGCUGAUACCGGAUAAUAUAUUGAACCGCAUGGUUCAGUAGUUCAAGGCGGUUUUGCUGUCACUUUUAGCUGAAUCCGCGGCGGAUUAUCCAGUUGGUAAGGGAAAGGCCUAACAAGGGAACGAUGCUUAGCCGAUCUGAUGGGGUGAUCAGCCACACUGGAACUGAGACAAGGUCCAGACCCCUAAGGGAGGCAGCAGGUGGGAAUAUUGCACAAUGGGCGGAAGCCUGAACGAGCCAUCCCGCGUGGGUGAAGAAGGGCUUCGGGUUGUAAAACCCUUUUUUUUGGGAAGAAAAAAAGCAGUAGAAAACUAUGCAGGUCUGACGGUACCUAAUGAGAAAGCAACGGCUAACUACGUG